UUGACCUCAAAUCAGGUAGGACUACCCGCUGAACUUAAGCAUAUCAAUAAGCGGAGGAAAAGAAACUAACAAGGAUUCCCCUAGUAACUGCGAGUGAAGAGGGAAAAGCUCAAAUUUAGAAUCUGGCAGUCUUUGAUUGUCCGAGUUGUAAUUUAGAGAAGUGUUACCCGUGCUGGACCGUGUACAAGUCU
rnacentral:rRNA from 1 species